GAAUACUCUGUUCAAAUAUUCAUAUGUCAAUAUAUAGAUCACGCUUAGGCUAAUAUAAGAACUGUGUGCGCAAAGAAACCGGUGACAGUUGUCCAGCGAGCAAAGUUGUUAGCAGUAGUACUUCAACCGAGUCGCGUGAUUAUCGAUGUACCACAAGAAUGAUCGCAUAGUAUGCAAAGUGAGCAGUUUUAAAAAGUAACACGUUCGUAAGGUGCGAUAUCUCAAGCAGUUCGGAUUAAUGCUAAUUAAAGAAAGACGUAGUUGUACUGCAGUGAAUGAUCACGUAUAUUCGUUUACAUAGCAGGUACACAUGUUUUUUCCGAUAAAAUUAAAAGGAUAUCAAAUAAACAUGAUUACAAGCUACUCCUCAUGAUGCAAAUAUUAAUCUUCUAUCAUACUUUUAUCUGAUGGAUAAGAAAAGACAUACAUUUUUUCCUAUUCUAAAUAAGGAAAUAAUAUAUUUUCCUCAAUUUUGCAUAGCAGUUGUGAUGUUGGAUAAUCCGUAUAUCGUCACUUCAAUUCUUGUUAUAAGUGAUUACCGCGCAAACUCAUAAAUAGUGGCUCACAAUCACAUGACUAUUUGAUGCGCUUCUAACUUCAUCGGAAUGAAUAUAUGUAAACCGUUGUGUGAACGAGUAAAGAAGACUGUUUGGAAAUGAGACCGAUCGGCGCAAAGCAGCUUUAAAAGAUAACGACCAUUGAGCGACAGUGUCACCGUCUUUUUCAGGUAUUAUAUAAGGAAGAGGUUCUGCGAUUAAUUACAAGGCAGAUAAGUUCCCAAUCCUCGUGAAAAUUCUGCAUUCAGAAUUUGAUUAUCGUGCGAUAGCUUGCAAGGUUUCAUGUAAAAUCAUUGCUAAGCGUGACAUUACGGUUGGUAAUACAGAAGAGAGAAAAAAGGAGAUAAAAAGACACAUCUGCUCGUGUUACUAUCGAAGGCGAAGGCUAUUUGCGACCAACAAAAUAGCAGUUAGACUUGCAUAAGAGAUCAAUAAAGCUAUUAAGACGAUAAGUCGUCUGUAAAUUGUUCGUUAACGAUUAUGUUAUCACUAUUAUCUUGUGAGUCGCAGAAAGAUGCGUCUGGCAUCAGCAAUAAUAAUACUAGCGUGGAAAAUAUUUUUAAUAACGAAAAUGUUUGCGAGAAAUUUCUCGGAAUUAAGCCGGAAGGAAAAGUCUUGGUGUUAUACACGGGUGGUACAAUAGGAAUGCUUAGGAACGAGGAGGGAGUGUUAAUGCCAGUAAUCGACGAAUUUAUCAUGGCUCUACGAAAAUUUCCACAAUUACAUGAUAGUGAAUAUGCCUCUAAAAAUUACAGUGAUUUGGGAAAAUCAUAUUUAGUGCUUCCUGAAACCGCGGCCGACAACCGUCGGGUUGUUUACAGAAUAUCAAAGUUUUCAAAUGUAUGCGACUCUAGCAAUGUAACUAUGGACGAUUGGAUUCAUAUUGCUGAUUAUAUCAAGGCUGGUCUGCGCUUGAGUUGUCUCAUGCUGCUAUGAGCUCUUCAUUACUCGAAAAUCUCCUUCCUUUCAAUUUUUCUUUAAUAAAAGAAAACAAACCAAAAUCGCAGAAGAAGCUACAUCGGGCUAAUAAGGGCUGUAAGGUAAUUUAUGAAUACCAUGCC